AGUGGAUGGAGAGCAACCUAGUUGUGCGUGUGUAAAGGUAGUGCCAAGAAAAGCGAUGAUCAUGUUGAAAAUCAAUUCCCGGUACCCGAAACCGACACAGGUGGGCAAGUAGAGAAUACUAAGGGGCGCGAGGUAACUCUCUCCAAGGAACUCGGCAAAAUGACCCCGUAACUUAGGGAGAAGGGGUGCCACCGAGAGGUGGUCGCAGUGAAGAGGCCCAGGCGACUGUUUAGCAAAAACAUAGGUCUCUGCAAACUCGAAAGAGGAGGUAUAGGGGCUGACGCCUGCCCAGUGCCGGAAGGUUAAAGAAGUUGGUCAGUCUUAGGAUGAAGCUAGCGACUGAAGCCCCGGUGAACGGCGGCCGUAACUAUAACGGUCCUAUGGUAGUGAAAUUCCUUGUCGGGUAAGUUCCGACCCGCACGAAAGGCGUAACGAUCUGGGCGCUGUCUCGGAGAGAGGCUCGGCGAAAUAGGAUUGUCUGUGAAGAUACGGACUACCUGCAUUUGGACAGAAAGACCCUAUGAAGCUUUACUAUAGCUUGGAAUUGUGUUCGGGCUUCCUGUGCGCAGGAUAGGUGGGAGGCGUAGAAGGUAUUCUUGUGGGGAUACUGGAGCCAACGGUGAGAUACCACUCUCAGGAGGCUAGAAUUCUAACUUAAUUAAGGACAGUUUCAGGUGGGUAGCUUGACUGGGGCGGUCGCCUCCAAAAAGGUAACGGAGGCGUACAAAGGUUCCCUCAGACUGGUUGGAAAUCAGUCGAAGAGUGCAAAGGCAGAAGGGAGCUUGACUGCGAGAAGUACAGUUCGAGCAGGGUGGAAACACGGUCUUAGUGAUCCGACGGUGCUGUGUGGAAGGGCCGUCGCUCAACGGAUAAAAGUUACUCUAGGAUAACAGGCUGAUCUCCCCCAAGAGUUCACAUCGACGGGGAGGUUUGGCACCUCGAUGUCGGCUCAUCGCAACCUGGGGCGGAAGCACGUCCCAAGGGUUGGGCUGUUCGCCCAUUAAAGCGGUACGUGAGCUGGGUUCAGAACGUCGUGAGACAGUUCGGUCCAUAUCCGAUGUAGGCGUGAGAAUAUUGAGAGGAGCCUUCCUUAGUACGAGAGGACCGGGAAGGACGCACCGCUGGUGUACCUGUUAUGAUGCCAAUUGUAAACGCAGGGUAGCCAAGUGCGGAGAGGAUAACCGCUGAAAGCAUCUAAGUGGGAAGCCCACCUCAAGAUGAGUAUUCUGGUGUAAGGUCACGGGAAGACGACCCGUAAAUAGGCACGAGGUGGAAGUGCAGAGAUGUAUGAAGCCGAAGUGUACUAAUAGACCGUCGGCUUGAC
rnacentral:rRNA from 1 species